rnacentral:rRNA from 1 species
UAGGGAAUCUUCCGCAAUGGACGCAAGUCUGCCGGAGCAACGCCGCGUGAGUGAAGAAGGUUUACGGUUCGUAAAACUCUGUUGUUAGAGAAGAACAGCGCAUAGAGUAACUGUUAUGCGUGUGACGGUAUCUAACCAGAAAGCCACGGCUAACUACGUGCCAGCAGCCGCGGUAAUACGUAGGUGGCAAGCGUUGUCCGGAUUUAUUGGGCGUAAAGCGAGCGCAGGCGGUCAAUUAAGUCUGAUGUGAAAGCCCCCGGCUCAACCGGGGAGGGUCAUUGGAAACUGGUUGACUUGAGUGCAGAAGAGGAGGGUGGAAUUCCAUGUGUAGCGGUGAAAUGCGUAGAUAUAUGGGGAAAAACCAGUGGGGAAGGCGACUCUCAGGUCUAUAACUGACGCUGAGGUUAGAAAGCGUGGGUAGCAAACAGG